rnacentral:misc_RNA from 1 species
GUCUUCUCCCGCCCGCGAAUCACGCGCCGCGCGCGUCGCCCUCGCCGCCGGAGGAUCACGCCCGCGCCAGACACCCUGCCCCCCUCCUCCGGCGCGCCGUGAUGCCCUCACCCCGCAACGCGCGCCCUGCCCCCGCAACGCGCGCCCGCGCAAGCCAUCCCGCAACGCCCGCGCCCCCGCCCGCGUUCCUCACCCGCGCGCGUCGCCCUCACCGCCGAUUAUUCCUCGCCUCGAUUGCAUCCCGCGGCAUCCAUCUCCACCUCACCGCGGCAGAUCCCCAUUUCUCGCGCCCCCUCCCUCGCGCCUGCGACAUCCAUGCCACCCUCGCCCUCCCGCUAAUCUCGCCGCGAUGAAGGUGGAAUCUCCGCGGACCUCGCCCUCCCGCGCAGAUCCCUCGCCUCGAUUGCAUCCCAGCGACAUCCAUCUCCACCUCAUCGCGACAUCCAUGGCAUGCCGUGCGUGGCCCCGUCUACGUCCCGCGCAUCUGCGAGGGUGGCCUCCACGAAUCCCCUUCUUCCCCCCAUACGAGGAUCACGCUGACGCCGACGCCGGGCGAAGAAAGGAGUCCACCCGCCCCCGCGACGCCGUGAUGCCUGUGCCCCUCCGCGACGCCGCGACACCGCGAUGCCCGUGCCCCUCUCCGCGACGCCGCGAUGCCCGCACAGCAAGGGCGUGCCCCCACCCCGACGCCCCCCCGCCUCACCAUGCCCCCAGCUCGCCGUGUGAUCCAUGCCCCCAGCCCAGCUUCCCCUACUACCUCAAGGCCGGUAUCCCCAAUUCCCCAUUCCUUCUCCUCCCUUUGCUCGACUGGAGGUGGUCUGCCCCCACCACCUGUGCGCUUCCCGCUUCCCUGUCCCACCUCACGCUCCCAGGAGGAGACACUCCGGAAGAUGGUGGGGCAGCGGCUUCGCGCUCCACAGAUGUCGUCGGGUCCAAGAAGCAGAGCCUCCGCGCUCCACGGAGGUCGCCUUCCGCAUGGACAACAGCGCGACGAGAUGCUACAACUACACUCAUGACAGCUUCAAUAGCAUAUCUGCAUUUUUUCCUCGUCCUCAGAAUCUUCUCUCUCGGAUUUUGACAGCCUGUUGUCAACGAAGGCGAGCAUGGUGUAGUCUAAGCUCAGCAAUUUCCAGAAAAAAAUCGUUAACUUGCAACAAGAUCUAUGGGAGGAAUACAUUGAUCUGAUCAUGUAGUGCAUGUGCAAUGAUACCUGUGAAAUAGAAGUCGUUUUCUGGGGGGAGCUCCAUCGUCGGGAAGAGGGGUCAUGGCUCACCACGGACAAAAGGUAGUUUAUGAUCAAGCUGGUGUGGGAGGCUCACCACGGACAAAAGGUUCGUGAUUUCCAUCACCACGCUCCCACAGGAUUUUGACAGCUGUUGUCAACGAAGGCGAGAAUGGUGUACUCUAAGCUCAGCAAUUUCCAGAAAAAAUCGUUAACUUGCAAGUCGAAAAGCAAGGUCCUGUCAUCACAAACUCCUAGCAAAUUUAGCGAUAUGUCAUGAGAACAAGACAGGACAACAUUACAGCCUCAGAGGAGGCCACCUAGCUCGAAGAUAGCGCCAGUGUCCAUGAAGGCGUCCUCUGCAAAUGCGACGCUUCAAGGCAUGAAGAACAGAAGCCAUUUUCGAAGGGACAGGAAAACUGCGCUGCAACAAGACGUGGACAAGCUGAGGAAGAAGUUGUGGCACGAGAAGAACGUCCACUAAGCUCUAAAGCAGGCGUUCUCGAGGCCGCUCUGCCUCGCCUCCCUAUUGUCUCAAGUCAAUGUCCUUCUUUGCUUUUCGAUCAAUUUCACAAGCAAGAAGCAACCUAACCAAUAAUCUAUUGCCCUUCCGAAGGACUCGAUACACUUUCUGAUUUCUGCCUCUUCUGAAUUGUUCCUAGACAUUGGAGCUUCUGGCCCCGUUGUAAGUGGAAAAUCCUUGUACUUAAAGGUUGCAAUGUAGUGGCCCCGUUGUAACGCACGGGCACUCACCUAGUGUCAAUAAGAAGUACAAGCUCUUGUCUGCUGGUAAAAGAAAAACAUCUUGACUGGACAGUGACAUUAAUAUAAUAAAAACGGUGUUUGGCUGCUAUGGAAAAAUGCCAGCCGACUUUCUUUUAAAAAAAUAUGCUAGCCGAUGUAUUUUUGUUGGACUCUAUGGAAAGAUGUUUUUCUUUUACCAGCAGACAAGAGCUUGUUCGCUCGGCUUGUUCGCUGCGGCUUUAAUCCGACUGCGGCUGCG